GGAAACACCUAUAGCUCAGUGGUAGAACAUCUGCUUUGCAUGCAGAAGGUCCCAGGCUCAAUCUUUGGUGUCUCUU